rnacentral:tRNA from 9 species
UGGGUCGUUAGCUCAGUUGGUAGAGCAGUUGACUUUUAAUCAAUUGGUCGCAGGUUCGAAUCCCGCACGACCCACCAU